rnacentral:tRNA from 1 species
GGGCGAUUAGCUCAGACGGUUAGAGCGCUGCCUUCACACGGCAGAGGUCGAGGGUUCGAGUCCCCCAUCGCCCACCA